GAUGAACGCUGGCGGUGUGCCUAAUACAUGCAAGUCGAGCGAACAGACGAGGAGCUUACUCCUCUGACGUUAGCGGCGGACGGGUGAGUAACACGUGGAUAACCUACCUAUAAGACUGGGAUAACUUCGGGAAACCGGAGCUAAUACCGGAUAACAUGUUGAACCGCAUGGUUCAACAGUGAAAGACGGUCUUGCUGUCACUUAUAGAUGGAUCCGCGUCGCAUUAGCUAGUUGGUAAGGUAACGGCUUACCAAGGCAACGAUGCGUAGCCGACCUGAGAGGGUGAUCGGCCACACUGGAACUGAGACACGGUCCAGACUCCUACGGGAGGCAGCAGUAGGGAAUCUUCCGCAAUGGGCGAAAGCCUGGCGAAGCAACGCCGCGUGAGUGAAGAAGGUCUUCGGAUCGUAAAACUCUGUUAUUAGGGAAGAACAAAUGUGUAAGUAACUAUGCACGUCUUGACGGUACCUAAUCAGAAAGCCACGGCUAACUACGUG
rnacentral:rRNA from 1 species